ensembl:lncRNA
CUCAGGUGGGCACUGCAGAGCACAGCCUGAGGAGCCCAUGGCUGCAGCACCCUCACUGCCACCUUGCCUACCUUAGCUAAGGAUCUCAUCUCAGCCCUGCUUUGCAUGUGUAUCCCAAGAACCUGGUAUUUAAGGACUAGAAGAGCCCAGCAGAUGUGUGCAGGAGGCAGCCCCAGCAGCCUCUUGCCCCUCAUAGAAUCACACAAGGUUGGAAAGGACCGACAAGAUCAUCUAGUCUCAGUUUGUGACCUCCUGGUGCAUGCUGCAGAAUGUAUCUCAGCCAAUUUCCUUCAGGAGCCAAGGAUCCUGUAUUUUUUAUCAUGUAUGGAGGAAAAAGUGACUGAACAGUUAGACUUCUGCAUUUGUCAAAGUCCUUGAUAUACAUUCUAUGUUUGGAAUGAAAAGAGCUGCUCAUCCGCAAAAGAGAGAAAUGAAGCCCAAGCGUUCAAGGAAAAUACACAGAUGACAUUUUGGAGCCCAGCAAAAUCAGUUAAAACGUCUGUGUUGGUGCCAACGGAACAAAAAUUAUGUCAGAAGUGUCUGCGUGGAGACGCCCUUAAUUACAGUUAUUUUAAAGAAGGCACCUCUGCUGUUCAAGUGUCAUCACAAGAAUCAUUAUGAAAUACAGAUUUAAGAAGGCAAUUUAAAAGGUUUUCAUCCAACAAAAAUUAAUCAGUGGAUACUUAUGAUCAGAUUUACUUUUGAAAGCACAGGAUUUUUACAUUUAUUUUUGUCUCUUCAGUCCCUUGCUCUCAUUGUCUGUACAGUCCUUCUCAUUUAGGCCAAAAUAGAUUACACUGAGGUCUAGACAACGUGUAGUUCCUGAGAGGAUCCUAUUGAAUAACUGGAUGAUGAAAACAUACCCAUACUGGAGAUUUAUGGUUCGUCGUGUUCAUAGCUGGAUUAGAAAUCAGUCUGGCACUUUCCAGCAAUCCCUAGCUGGCUUCUUAUACAGAAAAUAAAAAUAGCAUCUACUGUAUACUUUGAAAGAUUUAGCUUAAACAAUUUUUUUCCCAUAUUUCUUGACAAGAUUCUCAAUUAAGGUAAACAUAUUUCUGUCAGAUUGAUGGAGAGAAUUGUCUUGAUUUCUCACACUGAGUUUAACACCAGUGGCAUCUUACAGCCAAUUGCAAAUUACGACAUUCACACAGAUGAAGUGAAAAAACAGUAACGAAGCUACAGGUGUCAAUAAACUGUCAUUUUAUAAUCCUAUUUGCAAAAAAUGCAAAAAUUAAAAGACCUGACACUUUACACUGACAUGGUUAACCUGUUCACUUUUUCUUUGAUCUUCCAUCUGCUCUUCAUUUCAGUACCUGCCAGCUGAAGCAAAAAAUUGCUGCCUGAAGAUGAUAUAGGUAAUUCAUUAUAAGCUUAACAAAACUUUGACACAGUUUUAAUGGGUGGGUUUAGAAAAUGCAAUUCUCGUUCAGCCGGCAAAUCCGGUAUUGUGAAAUAGGAUUUUAUUCAAACUGGAAAAAAGUAUAAAUAGUGUAUUUUUGGUAAAAGAGAAAGCAAGUACUAAGUAGGUGCAGGAAAUUAAAUUAAAAAUUUUGCAUGUCCUUAAGUUUAAAUUUAUGCUAAUGGAUGGAUCUGACUGACAGCUCUGAACACCCAACAGUUUCUUUUCCAGUGUCUAGAACAGUUAUGAGCAUGAGCGAAUAAGAUUACUGAGGGUCUGUGUUAAAGUGCUUUGCAUUGGCUCCAGAAUGAUAAUCCAUUUCCUUUUUAAGCACACCCUACUGUUAAGUUUACCACAUACGUUUAAGAAGAAGUUAGCAUCACUAUAUCAACUCACCAAUUAAGUUCAUAUGUAAAUAUUUUAGUAAAUUAAUAAGGCAGAUGGACUUGAAAACACAAUCCUAGUCAUUUUUACCAACAAUUAAUGCCUGCACAUUUAAUUUAUGUUUAAUGCUAAAUGGCCAUUGAACACUUUGUGUGCAUAUAACCACAAGCACAUGUUAAUGGUGACUUUGGUUUUGUCAGAGCUCUGACAGCUGAG